GAUGAACGCUGGCGGCGUGCCUAAUACAUGCAAGUCGAGCGAACGGACGAGGAGCUUGCUUCUCUGAUGUUAGCGGCGGACGGGUGAGUAACACGUGGAUAACCUACCUAUAAGACUGGGAUAACUUCGGGAAACCGGAGCUAAUACCGGAUGAUAUUUUGAACCGCAUGGUUCAAAAGUGAAAGACGGUCUUGCUGUCACUUAUAGAUGGAUCCGCGCUGCAUUAGCUAGUUGGUAAGGUAACGACUUACCAAGGCAACGAUGCAUAGCCGACCUGAGAGGGUGAUCGGCCACACUGGAACUGAGACACGGUCCAGACUCCUACGGGAGGCAGCAGUAGGGAAUCUUCCGCAAUGGGCGAAAGCCUGACGGAGCAACGCCGCGUGAGUGAUGAAGGUCUUCGGAUCGUAAAACUCUGUUAUUAGGGAAGAACAAAUGUGUAAGUAACUGUGCACAUCUUGACGGUACCUAAUCAGAAAGCCACGGCUAACUACGUG
rnacentral:rRNA from 1 species